AUUGAACGCUGGCGGAAUGCUUUACACAUGCAAGUCGAACGGCAGCACGGGGCAACCUGGUGGCGAGUGGCGAACGGGUGAGUAAUACAUCGGAACGUGCCCAAUCGUGGGGGAUAACGUAGCGAAAGUUACGCUAAUACCGCAUACGAUCUACGGAUGAAAGCGGGGGAUCGCAAGACCUCGCGCGAAAUGGAGCGGCCGAUGUCAGAUUAGGUAGUUGGUGGGGUAAAAGGCUCACCAAGCCAACGAUCUGUAGCUGGUCUGAGAGGACGACCAGCCACACUGGAACUGAGACACGGUCCAGACUCCUACGGGAGGCAGCAGUGGGGAAUUUUGGACAAUGGGCGCAAGCCUGAUCCAGCCAUUCCGCGUGCAGGAUGAAGGCCUUCGGUUGUAAACGUGCUUUUGUUACGGAACGAAACGGACGAGCUCUAAUACAAGUUGUCUAAUGACGGUACCGUAA
rnacentral:rRNA from 1 species